GACGUAGGGCGCGAGCGUUGCCGGAUUUAUUGGGCGUAAAGAGCUCGUAGGCGGCUUGUUGCGUCAGCUGUGAAAACCCGCAGCUCAACUGUGGGCUUGCAGCUGAUACGGGCAGGCUUGAGUUCGGUAGGGGAGACUGGAAUUCCUGGUGUAGCGGUGAAAUGCGCAGAUAUCAGGAGGAACACCGGUGGCGAAGGCGGCAUCCUGGACCGGUAUUGACGCUGAUGCGCGAAAGCCAGGGGAGCAAACGGG
rnacentral:rRNA from 1 species